rnacentral:rRNA from 1 species
AUUGAACGCUGGCGGCAUGCCUAACACAUGCAAGUCGAACGGUAACGCGGGGGCGAACCCUCGGCGACGAGUGGCGGACGGGUGAGUAAUACGUAGGAAUCUGCCUUUUAGUUGGGGGAGUAACCCGGACGAAAUACCGGGCGUAAUACCGCAUAAGCACUACGGUGGAAAGCAGGGGAGUCGCAAGAUCUUGCGCUGAUAGAUGAGCCUACGUCGGAUUAGCUUGUUGGUAGGGUAACGGCCUACCAAGGCGACGAUCCGUAGCUGGUCUGAGAGGACGACCAGCCACACUGGGACUGAGACACGGCCCAGACUCCUACGGGAGGCAGCAGUGGGGAAUAUUGGACAAUGGGCGCAAGCCUGAUCCAGCAAUGCCGCGUGUGU